rnacentral:rRNA from 1 species
UACGGAGGGUGCAAGCGUUAUCUGGAUUUACUGGGCUUAAAGGGCGCGUAGGCGGAUUAGUAAGUCAGUGGUGAAAUCUCCGAGCUUAACUCGGAAACUGCCAUUGAUACUAUUAGUCUUGAAUAUUCUGGAGGUGAGCGGAAUAUGUCAUGUAGCGGUGAAAUGCUUAGAUAUGACAUAGAACACCAAUUGCGAAGGCAGCUCACUACGGGAUUAUUGACACUGAGGCACGAAAGCGUGGGGAUCAAACAGG